UCGCCUACAUGAAGCUGGAAUUGCUAGUAAUCACAGGUCAGCAUACUGUGGUGAAUACGUUCCCGGGCCUUGUACACACCGCCCGUCACACCAUGAGAGUUGAGAAUACCCGAAGCCCAUGUCAAAGUGGUCGAAGGUAGGCUUGAUGAUUGGGGUGAAGUCGUAACAAGGUAAC
rnacentral:rRNA from 1 species